GGGGGCGACACGGCUUCGACGGGUAAAUUGUUGACUUAUCGUUGCAUGUCGAGAGACUCUAGUAAUCUCGUAAAUCAUCUGGAGAAACUAAUAAGUGCCGAUUACGGUUACUCUGCUGCUGCUUAAAUAAGUCAGUAGUCAUCUCUCUUAGCUUUUGUGUGUAAAGCUAUCUAGAGGUGUCAUCUUUAACACACUCGUCUAGUUAUUUUUCUACUAUAAUUAGAUUAAAUGUUUACUUAGGUAGACAUGUAGAAUCGUCUAAAAAAGUUUGUUUAUUUAUAAACUUUAGAUUAAAACCUAAAAUAAACUAAGCAUGUAGAUACUCUAAGAAAGCUUUAUGCGGACGUGGGUUCGAUUCCCACCGCCUCCACAA
rfam:Candidatus Marinimicrobia bacterium TMED6 35719, whole genome shotgun sequence.